UACGUAGGGUGCGAGCGUUGUCCGGAAUUAUUGGGCGUAAAGGGCUCGUAGGCGGUUUGUCGCGUCGGGAGUGAAAUCCACUGGCUUAACUGGUGGCUUGCUUUCGAUACGGGCAGACUGGAGGUAUGCAGGGGAGAACGGAAUUCCUGGUGUAGCGGUGAAAUGCGCAGAUAUCAGGAGGAACACCGGUGGCGAAGGCGGGGUCUCUGGGGCAGUAACUACGCUGAGGAGCGAAAAGCGUGGGGG
rnacentral:rRNA from 1 species